UAUCUCUGUAGAGUCUGCAUAUCAAUAAGCGGAGGAAAAGAAACUAACUAGGAUUCCCUCAGUAACGGCGAGUGAAGCGGGAAGAGCUCAAAUUUGAAAUCUUCAAGGUUUCUACCUUGACGAAUUGUAGUUUAAAGAAGUGUUUUCUGUUGGAGUUUUGGUAAAAGUUCUUUGGAAUAGGACAUCAUAGAGGGUGAGAAUCCCGUAUUUGACCAUUACUUUCCAGCUUUGUGAUACACUUUCAAAGAGUCGGAUUGUUUGGGAAUGCAGUCCAAAAUGGGUGGUAAAUUUCAUCUAAAGCUAAAUAUUGGCGAGAGACCGAUAGCGAACAAGUACCGUGAGGGAAAGAUGAAAAGAACUUUGAAAAGAGAGUUAAACAGUACGUGAAAUUGUCAAAAGGGGAGCGUUUGACACCAGUGUUGUUUUUCUGAAAAUCAAUUAAAGAACUGUUUAUGCUAAGCUGUUUAGACUUUAUCAGCUAUCUGUUUAGUUUUGAGCUUUUCUUUAAUGCACUUUUUAGUUAACAAGUCAACAUCAAUUUCUUUUGCUGUAAAAAAGCUUGAGGAAGGUGGCUUGAGAUUCGUCUUAAGUGUUUAUAGCCUCUUGCCUAUGCAGUCGGAGAGAUUGAGGUCUGCAGCGUAGAUCCUUCGGGGCUAAAUGCAUUUGUGCUAAGUUAUAGCAUUUUAUAGACAACCUGUUGACUAUGAUUUGUCUUGUAGCUUACUCGCUUAUGUUAUUUUACCUACGCUUAGGAUGUUGACAUCAGCUGAGCGCG
rnacentral:rRNA from 1 species